rnacentral:rRNA from 1 species
AUACGUAGGGGGCGAGCGUUGUCCGGAAUGAUUGGGCGUAAAGGGCGCGUAGGCGGCCCGGUAAGUCUGGAGUGAAAGUCCUGUUUUUAAGAUGGGAAUUGCUUUGGAUACUGUCGGGCUUGAGUGCAGGAGAGGUAAGUGGAAUUCCCAGUGUAGCGGUGAAAUGCGUAGAGAUUGGGAGGAACACCAGUGGCGAAGGCGACUUACUGGACUGUAACUGACGCUGAGGCGCGAAAGUGUGGGGAGCAAACAGGAUUAGAUACCCUGGUAGUCCACACUGUAAACGAUGAAUGCUAGGUGUAAGAGGUAUCGACCCCUUUUGUGCCGGAGUCAACACAAUAAGCAUUCCGCCUGGGGAGUACGGCCGCAAGGUUGAAACUUAAAGGAAUUGACGGGG